GCGAGUGUGGUGUAGUGGUUUGAGCAUUGGACUAUGACUCUGGAGACCAGAGUUCAAACCCCUGCUCAGCCA